GUGCCAAGCAGCCGCGGUAAUUCCAGCUCCAAUAGCGUAUAUUAAAGUUGUUGCGGUUAAAAAGCUCGUAGUUGGAUCUUGGCGGGCAGGGGGUGGUUCGCUCUUCAGCGCUACUGCCCCGCUUUGCCCGUGUGAUUGGCGGAGGUUUCGGGGUGCUCUUCGUUGAGUGACUCGGAGCGCCGUCAGGUUUACUUUGAAAAAAUUAGAGUGCUCAAAGCAGGCUUUUCACGCUUGAAUAUUCGUGCAUGGAAUAAUGGAAUAGGAACUCGUUUCUAUUUUGUUGGUUUUCGGAAAUCGAGUUAAUGAUUAACAGGGACAAUUGGGGGCAUUAGUAUUCAGACGACAGAGGUGAAAUUCUUGGACCGUCUGAAGACUGACUACUGCGAAAGCAUUUGCCAAGAGUGUUUUCAUUAAUCAAGAACGAAAGUUAGAGGUUCGAAGGCGAUCAGAUACCGCCCUAGUUCUAACCAUAAACGAUGCCAGCUAGCGAUCUGCCGAGUUUUUUUUGUAGGCUCCGCAGGAAGCUUUCGGGAAACCAAAGCUUUUGGGUUCCGGGGGAAGUAUGGUUGCAAAGCUGAAACUUAAAGGAAUUGACGGAAGGGCACCACCAGGAGUGGAGCCUGCGGCUUAAUUUGACUCAACACGGGAAAUCUCACCAGGCCCGGACACUGGAAGGAUUGACAGAUUGAGAGCUCUUUCUCGAUUCGGUGGGUGGUGGUGCAUGGCCGUUCUUAGUUGGUGGAGUGAUUUGUCUGGUUAAUUCCGAUAACGAACGAGACUCUGUCCUGCUAAAUAGUUGGGUCGUCCUUCGUGCGAUCCAAGUUCUUCUUAGAGGGACUGGCUGCGUCUAGCAGCACGAGAUUGAGCAAUAACAGGUCUGUG
rnacentral:rRNA from 1 species